AAGCACUGACCUCAAGUGGCAGUGAUCUGUGGUUCUGGAUUAGGAGGUCUUAGUGAUAAAUUCACUCAUGCCCAGAUCUUUGACUACAGUGAGAUACCCAACUUUCCCUGAAGUACAGUGCCAGGUCAUGCUGGUCGACUGGUGUUUGGAUUCCUGAAUGGCAGAGCCUGUGUGAUGAUGCAGGGCAGGUUCCACAUGUAUGAAGGGUGUUCACCCUGGAAGAUGACAUUCCCCGUGAGGGUUUUCCACCUUCUGGGUGUGGACAUCCUGGUGGUCACCAAUGCAGCUGGAGGUCUUAACCCCAAGUCUGAAGUUGGAGAUAUCAUGCUGAUCCGUGAUCACAUCAACCUACCUGGUUUCUGUGGUCAGAACCCUCUCAAAGGGCCUAAUGAUGAAAGAUUUGGAAUUCGUUUUCCUGCCAUGUCUGAUGCCUAUGACCGGACUAUGAGACAGAAGGCUCUCAGUACCUGGAAACAAACAGGAGAGCAGCGAGGGCUACAGGAAGGCACCUAUGUCAUGUUGGCAGGUCCCAACUUUGAGACUGUGGCAGAGUGUCGUUUGCUGCAGAAACUGGGGGCAGAUGCUGUUGGCAUGAGCACAGUACCAGAAGUUAUAGUUGCACGGCACUGUGGACUUCGAGUCUUUGGCUUCUCACUGAUCACUAACAAGGUCAUC